rnacentral:tRNA from 1 species
GGGCCUGUGGUGUAUCGGUAACACGCAACCUUCGCAAGGUUGAGACAUCGGGUUCAAUUCCCGACAGGUCCA